ACGAACGCUUGCGGCGUGCUUAACACAUGCAAGUCGGACGGACAGGCCCUGCUUUUGUUGGGUUCUCGAGUGGCGAACGGGUGACUAACACGUGAGUAACCUGCCCUUGACUUUUGGAUAACUUCAGGAAACUGGGGCUAAUACCGGUUACGCACUCCUGCUGCAUGGUGGGGGUUGGAAAGUUUAGGCGGUUGGGGAUGGACUCGCGGCUUAUCAGCUUGUUGGUUGGGUAGUGGCUUACCCAGGCUUUGACGGGUAGCCGGCCUGAGAGGGUGACCGGCCACAUUGGGACUGAGAUACGGCCCAGACUCCUACGGGAGGCAGCAGGGGGGAAUAUUGCACAAUGGGCGGAAGCCUGAUGAAGAAACGCCGCGUGCGGGAUGACGGCCUUCGGGUUGUAAACCGCUUUCGCCUGUGACGAAGCGUGAGUGACGGUAAUGGGUAAAGAAGCACCGGCUAACUACGUG
rnacentral:rRNA from 1 species